GAUCAUGGCUCAGGAUGAACGCUGGCGGCGUGCCUAACACAUGCAAGUCGAGCGAGAAACCUUUCAAUGAAGCUUCGGUAGAUUUGAGAGGCGGAAAGCGGCGGACGGGUGAGUAACGCGUAGGCAACCUGCCCCUUGCAGAGGGAUAGCCUCGGGAAACUGGGAUUAAAACCUCAUAAAGCCUUUGAAGCACAUGCUUUGAAGGUCAAAGAUUUAUCGGCAAGGGAUGGG
rnacentral:rRNA from 1 species